CCUACGGGAGGCAGCAGUAGGGAAUCUUCCACAAUGGGCGCAAGCCUGAUGGAGCAACACCGCGUGAGUGAAGAAGGGUUUCGGCUCGUAAAGCUCUGUUGUUGGAGAAGAACGUGCGUGAGAGUAACUGUUCACGCAGUGACGGUAUCCAACCAGAAAGUCACGGCUAACUACGUGCCAGCAGCCGCGGUAAUACGUAGGUGGCAAGCGUUAUCCGGAUUUAUUGGGCGUAAAGCGAGCGCAGGCGGUUGCUUAGGUCUGAUGUGAAAGCCUUCGGCUUAACCGAAGAAGUGCAUCGGAAACAGGGCAACUUGAGUGAAGAAGAGGAAAGUGGAACUCCAUGUGUAGCGGUGGAAUGCGUAGAUAUAUGGAAGAACACCAGUGGCGAAGGCGGCUGUCUGGUCUGCAACUGACGCUGAGGCUCGAAAGCAUGGGUAGCAAACAGGAUUAGAUACCCGUGUAGUC
rnacentral:rRNA from 1 species